UACGUAGGGUGCGAGCGUUGUCCGGAAUUAUUGGGCGUAAAGAGCUCGUAGGCGGUCUGUCGCGUCGAUCGUGAAAACUUGGGGCUUAACCCUGAGCUUGCGGUCGAUACGGGCAUGACUGGAGUUCGGCAGGGGAGACUGGAAUUCCUGGUGUAGCGGUGAAAUGCGCAGAUAUCAGGAGGAACACCGGUGGCGAAGGCAGCUCGCUGGGACGGUACUGACGCUGAGGCGCGAAAGCGUGGGGAGCAAACAGG
rnacentral:rRNA from 1 species